ensembl:snRNA U2 U2 spliceosomal RNA
AUCGCUUCUCAGCCUUUUGGCUAAGAUCAAGUAUAGUAUCCGUUCUUAUCAGUUUAAUAUCUAAUACGUCCUCUAACCCAGGACAAUAUGUUAAAUGGAUAUUUGGGAGCAGGGAGAUGGAAUAGGAACCUGCUCCGUCCACUCCACGCACUAACCUGGCAUUGCAGGAAAUGUUAAAGUGCAACAAAU